UGACAUGGACGCUUGCCUUGAAGAUUGAGCCAUGCACGUUGGGCACGCGAGAGCAAGCAGCGAACGGCUCAGUAAGGCAGUUUGGACCGGCUUGGCGGAAAGGGGCGGAUAACCGAGGGAAACUUCGGCUAAGACGGCGAGCGGAAGGGGGUUUUGCGGCAGAACAGAACCAGAGCGGCGCAGCGCGCGGCCAAACGGGGAACUGUCCCAUCAGCUGGAAGGUAGGGUCGGGGCCUACCUUGGCGACGACGGGUGACGGGGAAUGGGGGUUUGAUUCCGGAGAAGGAGGCUGAGAAACGGCUCCUAGGUCCAAGGAUCGCAGCAGGCGCGGAACUUGCUCACUUCCCGGGGGGAGAAGCAGUGAAGAGGCAUGCGGGAAUGGGCGCCCGGCAACAGCGGGCGCGAAAGCAACUGGAGGGCAAGUCUGGUGCCAGCAGCCGCGGUAAUUCCAGCUCCAGAAGCGUCUACGGUGAUUGCUGCAGUUAAAAGGUUCGUAGUCGGGCAGGGAAACCGUGGGGAAAGGAGGCUGCUCAAGGGAGUGCGGAGCACGGGACAAGGGUUGAGAGGGGCGGACGGGGGCAGGGGGAUUCGGCAGCUAGAGGUGAAAUUCGGAGAUUUGCCGAGGACCGGCAGAGGCGAAGGCGCCUGCCAGGGACGCUUUCAUUGAUCAAGGACGAAGGCCGGAGGAUCGAAGACGAU
rnacentral:rRNA from 1 species